AGGUUCGAACCUGUGGGGUCACACACAUUACAGGUUCCUAUCUAAUCUGAUGGCUGGUCAAGAGUCCCACUGGACUGGGACUCUUUGACCAAGAGUCCUGAUGCUUGGGGACCCUGAGUCCUACAUGUCUGAGACUCAUGAUGGAGAAUCAGGAUUCUCUGAUCACGAGUUCCACACAUUUUGGGUACCGGGGUCAAGAGUCCCAUUGGUUUGGGACUCUUUGAUCAAGGUUUCAUAUCGAUGGACUUUGAUGCCCGAUUGCCCAUCGAAUUUAGACUCAUUAUUUAUGAGAGGUUUAAUUAGUGAUUUGAUUACGAAUUAACUCAAUUUGAUUGAGUGAUUAUUUUUGGAUCAAGUCCAAUUGAAUUGGAUUCAGUUGGGUUUGACCCGAUUAGGUUAAGAGUUGACCUAAUCGCCAAGGUGAUUUGAUCCCUGAUUUGAUCAGGGGUUGGGCUUAGUCAAUUUUUGAUUUGAUUAGGAUUUUAUUAAGCCUAAUUAUGUUGGGUUUAAUUUAGUCUAAUUGUGUCUAACCUAUUUUAAUAUGGUUGGUUCAAUUAGAUUGCUUUAAAAUUUCAAAUCACCUUGACUUAUCUCCCUGAGCCACCUCACUUCACCUGUGCCUAUUUGAAUUCAUGAGAAAUGAGUUCUCAUGAAUUUUCUCCCAUGCAGAAGCCUUCCCACGCCCCUUCUUUGUGUGCCAUUUUGAAUGGAUAAUGAUAAGGUUGGUUGGCCAUUCAAAUUCAAAGGAUGUUUGAAUUUGAAUGGGCAACAAAUCCCAUGCGCCACCCCUUUCUUUUGUGUGCCACUUAUUCUACAUGAGAAAAAGUUUCUCGUGUAUACACUCCAUUCACAAAGAAGCCCACACCCUUCCCUACUCAUGCCAAGAGUGGAUAAAAAUUGGUUGGUUGGCAUUUGAAUUCAAAUUCGAUUUGAAUUCAAGUGAGCAACCACUUAUCUUUAUCCUCUCACGCGGUAAAAAUGCUGUAAAGAUGCGAUUUUACACCGUUUUAAAAAGAAAGAGAAGAUGGGGUGUGUGCAC
rnacentral:lncRNA from 1 species